rnacentral:rRNA from 1 species
AUUGAACGCUGGCGGCAGGCUUAACACAUGCAAGUCGAGCGAGCGGCGGACGGGUGAGUAAUGUCUGGAAAAAUGCCUGAUGGAGGGGGAUAACUACUGGAAACGGUAGCUAAUAACGCAUACCAUCAGAUGGGCCCAGGUGGGAUUAGCUAGUAGGUGGGGUAAUGGCUCACCUAGGCGACGAUCCCCAGCUGGUCUGAGAGGAUGACCAGCCACCCGGGAACUGAGAAAGGGUCCAGACUCCUACGGGAGGCAGCAGUGGGGAAUAUUGCACAAUGGGCGCAAGCCUGAUGCAGCCAUGCCGCGUGUGUGAAGAAGGCCUUCGGUUUGUAAAGCACUUUCAGCGAGGAGGCGUUACUCGCAGAAGAAGCACCGGCUAACUACGUGCCAGCAGCCGCGGUAAUAC